GUGGGGAAUAUUGGACAAUGGGCGAAAGCCUGAUCCAGCCAUGCCGCGUGUGUGAAGAAGGUCUUCGGAUUGUAAAGCACUUUAAGUUGGGAGGAAGGGCAGUAAGUUAAUACCUUGCUGUUUUGACGUUACCGACAGAAUAAGCACCGGCUAACUUCGUGCCAGCAGCCGCGGUAAUACGAAGGGUGCAAGCGUUAAUCGGAAUCACUGGGCGUAAAGCGUGCGUAGGCGGGUUUGUAAGUUAGGAGUGAAAGCCCAGGGCUCAACCUUGGAAUUGCUCUUAAAACUGCAAGGCUCGAAUCUCGGAGAGGAUAGCGGAAUUUCCAGUGUAGCAGUGAAAUGCGUAGAUAUUGGAAGGAACACCAGUGGCGUAAGCGGCUAUCUGGACGAGUAUUGACGCUGAGGCACGAAAGCGUGGGGAUCAAACAGGAUUAGAAACCCUAGUAGUCC
rnacentral:rRNA from 1 species